rnacentral:rRNA from 1 species
UACGCAGGGUCCGAGCGUUGUCCGGAAUUACUGGGCGUAAAGCGCGCGCAGGCGGCCCGCGAGGUGUCACGUGAAAGCCCCGGGCUCAACCCGGGAGGGUCGUGGCAAACCGGCGGGCUUGAGGCCGGUAGAGGUGGGUGGAACUCCUGGUGGAGUGGUGAAAUGCGUAGAGAUCAGGAAGAACACCCGUGGCGAAGGCGGCCCACUGGGCCGGUACUGACGCUGAGGAGCGAAAGCGUGGGGAGCAAACAGG